rnacentral:rRNA from 1 species
AUACGGAGGAUCCAAGCGUUGUCCGGAAUUACUUGGGUUUAAAGGGAGCGUAGGCCGUCUGUUAAGCGUGUUGUGAAAUGUAGAUGCUCAACAUCUGAAUUGCAGCGCGAACUGGCAGACUUGAGUGUGCGCAACGUAGGCGGAAUUCGUGGUGUAGCGGUGAAAUGCUUAGAUAUCACGAAGAACUCCGAUUGCGAAGGCAGCUUACGGGAGCACAACUGACGCUGAAGCUCGAAAGUGCGGGUAUC